rnacentral:rRNA from 1 species
CACCUUUGACAUGUACGGAAGGAUCCAGAGAUGGAUUUGUGCUCGAAAGAGAACCGUAACACAGGUGCUGCAUGGCUGUCGUCAGCUCGUGUCGUGAGAUGUUGGGUUAAGUCCCGCAACGAGCGCAACCCUUGUCAUUAGUUGCUACAUUUAGUUGGGCACUCUAAUGAGACUGCCGGUGACAAACCGGAGGAAGGUGGGGAUGACGUCAAGUCCUCAUGGCCCUUAUAGGUGGGGCUACACACGUCAUACAAUGGCUGGUACAAAGGGUUGCCAACCCGCGAGGGGGAGCUAAUCCCAUAAAACCAGUCGUAGUCCGGAUCGCAGUCUGCAACUCGACUGCGUGAAGUCGGAAUCGCUAGUAAUCGUGGAUCAGAAUGUCACGGUGAAUACGUUCCCGGGUC